AACGCGAAGAACCUUACCUGGGCUAGAAAACGUCAGAAUCUGGGAGAAGUCUCGGAGUGCCCUUCGGGGAACUGGCGGUUAGGUGCUGCAUGGCUGUCGUCAGCUCGUGUCGUGAGAUGUUGGGUUAAGUCCCGCGACGAGCGCAACCCCUAUCAUUAGUUACCAGCGGGUCAUGCCGGGAACUCUAAUGAGACCGCCGAUAUUCAAAUCGGAGGAAGGUGGGGACGACGUCAAAUCAUCAUGCCCCUUAUGUCCUGGGCUGCACGCAUGCUACAAUGGCCGGUACAAAGGGCUGCGAUACCGUGAGGUGGAGCGAAUCCCAUAAAGCCGGUCUCAGUUCGGAUCGGGGUCUGCAACUCGACCCCGUGAAGUCGGAGUCGCUAGUAAUCGCAGAUCAGCAAUGCUGCGGUGAAUACGUUCCCGGGUCUUGUACACACCGACACCGCGUUCCCGGGUCUUGUACACACCGA
rnacentral:rRNA from 1 species